GUUAUGGUAAUAUCCUUACAGUAAGAACAAAAUGAUUGACACUGAUUCAACAUGAAGAUGCCAGUCUUUUCUGUGCUCAAAAUGAAAGAUUUGGCUUUCACAUUAGGGAAGCAGAACAACACCACAGUAACUGCACCGAAAUAGACUUUAACCCUAUAUUUGGCUGUAGGUAGUUUCAAAUAAAAUCCGAUGCAGUUUAUUGCAAGACAGAUAAAAAAUAGUAGAAAAGCAACAAGAGCACGUCUGAGGACAAAGAAGCCUUUAAUGAGAGCAUUCUGGGACCCAGGGCGACGCGGAGACCAGGAAGCGGUACGCGAUGAAGGGGGUGCUUAGCAGCCUGGCCUUCCGGUGUAUACCAUAGCCACAAAGGAGGACCAAUCAUUUCCGGGGACGAAAAGGAGGAGGGGAGGAGGGUUGCCGCCCCGUGUCCGCUACUAUAUCUAAAUAUGUAUCAUAGAAACAAGUGCCAGAAGAGAGCAAUGCGCAAGCGUACCACAGGUAUCAGAG